GAGGGGAACGGACAGGGCAGGUCUAGAGGAGCAGACGUGGAGCUCAGGCUGCAGGUGGACUGUGUCUCGGGAUCGUCUUCUGAUGUUGUGCCGUUGCAGCUAUCCUCGAAAUUCACAGACAUCACUGUAGAACAAACACAGGACUGCUGUAUGAAUUACAAAUCGGAUUAUGGAUGAUCUCACUUACUCGAUAUGCCGUCAGACUCCAUUUUGAAGUUGGCGAUGUCGUCGGUAGCGGCCCCGUCAUCUUCAGCCCCCACCCCUCGGCCCCGGGGCCCCAUGGCAGAGAGUCGGCGGCGUGCGUGGAUCUCAUCCGAGAUGGUCUCCAGGUUCCGAAGGGCCGUCCGGUACUCGGCUUUGGCCUGGGUCAGUUUAGCCUGACGCUCGUCGACCCGUCUCUUCAGUUGCUGUAUGGGAGAUGGAGGACAAGUACGGCCUGCAGAGGGAGAGAAAGAGAAGCAUUUGAACAGAGUGAGUCUCAGAGCCGGUUUCCAUGGCAACAACAGAGCUCUGCGAAAGAACCGGCACAUUCCACCAGCAGAAACACAUCUGGAGCACAUUAGAGACGCCUCACACUGAACUACACUUCCAUCCACAGCCCAGCGACAGCAGAGGCCCGGGGUGGGGAGGACAAAGACAGAAAGACACACUCUGCUGAAAGAGUUUUGGUAAUUUACAUGUGAGAGAGAUAAUGUUUUGUGGGUAUUCUGAAGGAAACAUCAUUUUAUUUCCAAAUAUUGACAUGUUUGAAAUGAUGUAAGGCCUGCAGAACCCGUGCGUGCACAACUUGUUUCAGCAAGAUUUUAGGG